rnacentral:rRNA from 1 species
GAUGAACGCUGGCGGCGUGCCUAAUACAUGCAAGUCGAGCGAACGGACGAGGAGCUUGCUCCUCUGACGUUAGCGGCGGACGGGUGAGUAACACGUGGAUAACCUACCUAUAAGACUGGGAUAACUUCGGGAAACCGGAGCUAAUACCGGAUAAUAUAUUGAACCGCAUGGUUCAAUAGUGAAAUACGGUUUUGCUGUCACUUAUAGAUGGAUCCGCGCCGCAUUAGCUAGUUGGUAAGGUAACGGCUUACCAAGGCAACGAUGCGUAGGCGACCUGAGAGGGUGAUCGGCCACACUGGAACUGAGACACGGUCCAGACUCCUACGGGAGGCAGCAGUAGGGAAUCUUCCGCAAUGGGCGAAAGCUUGACGGAGCAACGCCGCGUGAGUGAUGAAGGUCUUCGGAUCGUAAAACUCUGUUAUUAGGGAAGAACAAAUGUGUAAGUAACUAUGCACGUCUUGACGGUACCUAAUCAGAAAGCCACGGCUAACUACGUG